CAUUAUUUAAGCCUGUGUGUGUGAACUCGUUCUGUUUGUCUUCUCCUGCUGGGUGUCUGUGGAGACGUGUCCAGGUUGGCGUGCUUUAUGUUUUUGCCGCUGCCCUAGGUCGUCAGUCUGCUGCGGUGUGGUAAGGGCACUUUUUCCAUCUUUUGUGCCUUUUUAUUGUUCCAUGUCGCCGUGCAUGUGGCACUAAUGUGCAUUCUUUCAUAUAGCUGACCCUGUCGUGGUUGCGGAUGUCUCGGUGUGGGUGGAUGUAUGCCUGGGCUGCUGGCGUUGGGUGUCUCGUGUGGGCCGCUGUGUGUGUGCGCGAGGUGGGUGCCUCCGCCGGGGUCUGAGGGUGGCCUGUCCUGUAAUUCGCUGGACCGGGCUGCAGCCUUAUACAUGCUGCUGUGGGGCUAUCGUGGUGCCACGACUAAUUAAAGGGCCAGUACUCCCGGCGCGUUCUUCCCCCACUGAAGCUGUUUUGGAUUCCGGUAAAAGUUUCUGGAUUCCGGCAAAACUGUUCUGAAUUCCGGUAAAACUGUUCUUGAGUCCGAUAAAAGUUUCCUGGACACUAGUACAAAAAUGGUCUGAAUACAUGUACAAAAGCGGUUUGGAUAUAUUAGAUAUUGGCUAUUAACUGUUGUAUAUAUUGCAUGUGGGUUUCUUUUUGUUGGUUUUUUUC